GGCGGUAAAUUCCGUCCA
rnacentral:snRNA from 1 species